AUCUCUGGAAGAAUUUUCAGCUCUAAAGGUCUCUUGGAACAGAGAGGAGCUUAACACACACACAUCUGCUCUGUGCAACAGCAGACACAUCUCUUCAUGCUGUAGAGACAACAUGAGA
rnacentral:lncRNA from 1 species